ACAAAGACAGAGAGGAUGCUGAAGGUGCUGAAGGUGUAGCCUGGUUUGUAAGUGAUGUGCUUGGAAAGAGCAGAGACGUAGUGAUCAAGCUGUGGGAGACACUGGCUGAGGAAAUAGUGCACUUCCCAUCACCCAAUAUAAACACAAUACUGGAGGAGGUUGCAGAGGGGGGUCUGCCCACGGAGACGUAAAACGGCGUGCGGAAGCGCUGGAGGAAAAUCAGCCGGGACGAAAAAUCCCGGCGAGACAAAUAAAUAAGAAAACAAAGAAAGAAAGAUUUAGCAGUAGCGGGGAAAAAGAAAACUCUUGGGCAGCCCCGAUAAAGUGGAUAGCAGGCUGAGGGAGCCGCUAGAGUAGGACGGAGACCCGGGCCGUACGAGUAGCGACGGUUGGGGAGAAGCUGCCGAGUGCAGCACUUUUUAUUUUGUAGUUUUGUUUACUGUGUUUUGUUUUCUCUGUUUCUGUUGCCUUUUGAUUAGUAUUUUUUGUUCUAACCUCUGUACCCUGUACCGCUCCGGUAUAGUUGUGGCUCUGUCGCUACCAUAGCUGGUACGGCAGGCCACAGACAACAGCGCCCUCUGCGGGCUGAACCCAAAAUAAGUUUCUAAUAAAACUGGGCACCUGUGCGGUGUUUUCAGCCUCA